CAAAUUGUCUUUUGAACGUAUCCUACACGUAACCGCUCGGAAAAUGCCGACAAAAUUGUGCUGGCAAUUAUCUAUGGAAUAUUUGCUAUCAAUCUGUGGUAUUUGUUUUCCAAAAUACGUAACAAUAAGUGAGCUAAAAAUCGGUAAAGUCGGAGAUACGGUCGAAAAAACCCUACGUUCCGCCGCCGAAAACGCGGCACCGGCCCGCGCGCGGCGCUGCGGAAAUGCCUUUUUUCAACUCAAAAGCCAGCUGACUUCCCGUUCGACUAGAUUUCUGGGAAAUAUAUCAUGUGAAAGGGGAAAGAUUAAGGUUCACGACGGUGAUUGUGCAAUCUUCAUAGCUUGUGGCAAACUGAAAUGGCGGGCCAGUGAAAAAAUUCGUCAAAAUGGAUGAAGAGGACAGCCAGAAGACAUUCGCUGGGACAUUGUUUACAGGCUGGAUUAAAGUUUUAAACAUGAACUAUCAUGUGGCUCCAGAUGUUUUACUGAGGGAUAACUGCAGUGUUGAAGAAUUUUGUCAGCUUAAACUA